CAACAACUCCCAGAGCUUCCAGACCCAAGAUACAUUUUGGAACCCCAGGACAAUCCUGAACUGGCACCCGCCCUGGUGUGUGCCCUUUGCUGCUGCUGCUUUGGAAUCAUCUCCUGCAGCUAUGGCCACCACUGCUUCAAGGCAGUGAUGUUUCUCUCAGGCCUGCUGUCUGGAGCUCUGGUGAUCUUCCUGCUCUUUCACAAGGAGCAGGUGCUGGAGAUACAGCUGAGAUUGGGGGUGAGCACGGGCAUCACACUGGGCAUUGGACUCUUCUGCAGCCUGGUCACCAUGUUGAUUUGCAGUGUUGGGCUCUUCCUGAUUAGUCUCCUUCUAGGUCUGAACCUGGAUGCUGGGACUCUGCUGGGCACUGAGUCCAUCUAACAACCACUUUCACUGGGUGCUGGCAGGGGGUGGUGGUGGGGCUGGAACUGCUGGGAGCCCUGCUUAUGCUUCAGUGGCCAUGUCCAUUCAUAGUUCUGGGCACAGCCCUGCUGGGUGCUACGGUGCUGGUGGCUUGUGCUGACUUCUUCCUGGAGGGUCUGGCACUGGGCAGUUGGCUGGGUCAAUGCUGGCAGGCACUUCCAGCCUUGCCUCCUUUCUGCUGGUAUAGCUAGAUUUUAUUGAACUCCUGGCCAGCCUUGGGGGCUUCUAGGGCCCUGGCCCAGUGGAAGCUCAUGGCUAAGGAACAUGGAGGCCAUGCUAAUGUGACCUUGAGCUACCAGCAAAGGGGUCUCCAACUCCUUUGGAUCUAUCAACAAGAGACCAAGUAGCACCAGACCGCCUCUGGGGUGGGGCUUUGUGAAAGUAGCUAUAGGUGUCAGCUCCCUGCCAACACCCAGAGCCCUGCUGACAGUCUGGCUCCAAGUUAUCUCCAGAGUCUUUGAGAGCACCAACUGGAACCAGUCCCUGAGGCCACAGUCCCCCACACUCAUCUGGACCUGGGUUCUGAUUGUGGUUCCACUGUUCCCCUCACAACACCCUCU
rnacentral:lncRNA from 1 species